rnacentral:rRNA from 1 species
AACAAGGUUUCCGUAGGUGAACCUGCGGAAGGAUCAUUAUCGAUGGCCGCGCCGUGAGCGCCUCGGCGGGAUCGGCCGGCCACUGACCACACCCUUACUCUACGAGCACCUUUCGUUCUCCUUCGGCGGGGCGACCCGCCGCUGGAACCUCAUCACGAACCUUUUUUGCAUCCAGCAUUACCUGUUCUGAUAAAUUUAAUCGUUACAACUUUCAACAAUGGAUCUCUUGGCUCUGGCAUCGAUGAAGAACGCAGCGAAAUGCGAUAAGUAGUGUGAAUUGCAGAAUUCAGUGAAUCAUCGAAUCUUUGAACGCACAUUGCGCCCCUUGGUAUUCCAUGGGGGCAUGCCUGUUCGAGCGUCAUCUACACCCUCAAGCUCUGCUUGGUGUUGGGCGUCUGUCCCGCCUCUGCGCGCGGACUCGCCCCAAAGGCAUUGGCAGCGGUCCACGGCCCCUCUCGCGCAGCACAUUGCGCUUCUCGAGGCGGUCCGGCCCGCGUCCACGAAGCCCACAUUACCGUCUUUGACCUCGGAUCAGGUAGGGAUACCCGCUGAACUUAAGCAUAUCAAA